rnacentral:rRNA from 1 species
GCUUCGGUGCGCCCGCCUCACGGCCGCCGGGGGGCUUCUGCCCCCGGGUCCGCGCGCACCGGAGACACUAUUGAACUCUGUCUGAAGAUUGCAGUCUGAGCAUAAACUAAAUAAGUUAAAACUUUCAACAACGGAUCUCUUGGUUCCGGCAUCGAUGAAGAACGCAGCGAAAUGCGAUAACUAAUGUGAAUUGCAGAAUUCAGUGAAUCAUCGAGUCUUUGAACGCACAUUGCGCCCCCUGGUAUUCCGGGGGGCAUGCCUGUCCGAGCGUCAUUGCUGCCCUCAAGCACGGCUUGUGUGUUGGGCUCCGUCCCCCCGGGGACGGGUCCGAAAGGCAGCGGCGGCACCGAGUCCGGUCCUCGAGCGUAUGGGGCUUUGUCACCCGCUCUGUAGGCCCGGCCGGCGCCAGCCGACAACCAAUCAUCCUUUUUUCAGGUUGACCUCGGAUCAGGUAGGGAUACCCGCUGAACUUAAGCAUAUC